CGCCUUUGGGGCCCAGCGUCCUCGCUGGCACUCGUUCCCUUCUCCAAUUGAUGUGGGACCCUCCAAUUCACCCCCCUUCGAGGCCCAGCAUCCUUGUUGGCAUAGCGCCUCGUGUCCAUCCCUCUUCAGGGCUUAGCCUCCUCAUUGGCACAUUACCCGGUGUCUGACUCUGAUACCAUUGCUUGCAAAUAUUGUCCUUUUUGGGUUUUCCUCAAGGUUUUUAAAACGCAUCUGUUAGAGAGAGGUUUCUACACUCUUAUAAAGAAUGUUUCGUUCUCCUCUCCAACCGAUGUGGGAUCUCACCCUUCGUUUGUGAUAUAUGAUGAAAGAGCAGGGCGUAUAACAGGAACCAGGAUGUGGUUGGAUCUCUGUGAAUGGUACAUUGCAUAAGUUUUAUGCAGGUGGCCAACAAAAGAUAAAUUUAUGCUAAGCUAGAAGAGUUUAGAUUGAAGGCAAAUUCUUUGGAGGAUGUACUAGAUUUGAGUUAUGGCUGUAAGUUUUAGACCUCGGAUAAGUUAUACGGAUACAGAUGGAAUCGCCCGUCCAUUCAACCAAAUUCAUUGGGAAAAAAAAAAAAGCAUCAGCCAAAGAGAUCAAAUUAAACAGUGAAGGCAAAUGGGUGCUUAAGAACUAAAUUGGCUGGCUAAAUGAUAUAGGACUUACAGAUAUGAUUCUCUGCAUCAUUCAACUCCUGCAGGUUCUGAAAUAUGUAUGAUGCUGUACUUCAUUAGAUAAGGAAGAAUAACGAUUCGGGUUAUGGAAAUGAUAAAAAGCGCCACGGAUCAAUGCUCGGUUCUAUGAAAAUCUUUUACUUUUUGACAAUAUGAUUGCUAUGUUGGGUGAAGGUUAUCAGAAGUUUGACCUCUUUCAUAAUAAUGCAUCGUUAUGAUGUGCUAAUUUGGAAUCAUAAAGCCUUUCUGCUUAUGAUUUUACUGGGGUCUACUGAACUUUGUCAUACUCGAAGCAGUAAAAUUUAUCGUUACGUUACACGAAUAAGUUUGAGCUGACUUUGGAGCAAAUGGAGCAGAGUUUUUCUGAAGAUUAAUGCAAGAGGUGGAGUUUUGGAUGCCUCGAGGUCGGAAUCGAAGAGAGGAAGAGGAAAUAGGGCUCCUUGUUUAUGGGGUUGAAGAAGAAAAAAGUGGGUAAAGUGAGUUGCAUGGGGGAGGGGGAAAAUUGUGUGCCAUUCAGGGACUAUCCAAAAACCAAUAACGAGACACAACAGUUGAAAGGCUGUUUUAUGAAAUGUCUUGUGGGUAUGGCCCUCGCAGUGUUUGCUUGCUUGCUUGUAGUGCCAUUAUCUGUGGUCCUUUUGCUGGAUUUAUAUGCCUACUUCCUUAACAUGUGAAGAAGAUGGGACAACCGACUUCCAGUGCGCGCACAUAUAUAUAUAUACAUAUACAUACAUAUAUGUAUCCAUCUCCAAGCCUAGAAACCGCCCCCGUGACCUGAAAUGUUCAAAUCUUUCUGUCAACAUCAGUGGGGCAUCAACAAUAUGCAUUACAAGCUGACGAUAACAGACUAGCUGGCUACAAUUCUAAGACUGACGACCACUCUUUGAGAGCGACCCUUUUCAAAUCUCUCCUUUCUGCUUCAAACCCACUUUUUCUUUUUUUCCAUUUUCCAUUUUCCUACAUAUUUAUUCACAUUCUCUCCUGAUAUUUAUUGAUGCAUCUGGGUUUAUAUCAUAUGGUCAUAAAGUGUAUAUAUAUAUGAUGUUAUUGAACAUACUGGCCCAACCAAAGCUUAUAUUAUCCUUGUAUACAUUCUUACCUACCAAAAAUACUCCUUCGGCCACAAGUGAACAAGAGAGCCACUUAUCAGAAAACUUUUUACUUUUAUUAAGUUUUGUUUCCAUUGUGCAUUUGCAUGUGAAUGUACUUUCACCGAGUGCAACUCACGUGACCUUUUGUAGCAAGUCACAAGAAUCCUAUACCUUUCCUCCACAAAACGGAUAAUAUUAUGUUUAUAUACAGAAAUUAGAAAAUAGAUUCGAAACUAUUAGGUGAAACGAGUACAUAUUGAUUUUACAUUCUAACCUUCUAGAUUAGUUAAUAAUAGACUCUUUAAAUCUAUUUCUUAAGUUAGAUGAAGAAUAUGUCACGGGAAAUGUUUCCGAUUUAAGUACCUAUAGUUUUAGGGUAUGGUUGGGUUUUGAAAUGCAAAGUUUAUAUAUAAUGAAGCUAAUUAAUAGACAUAAUUGAGCAAUUCAAUUAUCCUAGUGGUUUUGGAGCUAAAUGACAAUUUCUUAAGUUUAAUUUAUUGAAUAUUAGGCAUCAUAUGAUAUAUAAUAAAAAGGGAGUAAGAUAUAUGUGGAUAACAUUGAAAGAAAGGAAGAGUAAGGUGAGAGACAAAAUAUGUAAUAAUCGGUAAGGGAGGUUUGGAAGUAUGUGUGUGUUGGACAUGGGUGUGUGCAUUAUUGUGUAGAGGGAAUUAUGGGAGGGAGGGUUUGUUUGGUUUGGUUGGUUUUAGAACACUGUAGGAGAAGCUAAGAAAGG